rnacentral:rRNA from 1 species
CUACGGGGGGCACCAGUGGGGAAUAUUGCACAAUGGGCGCAAGCCUGAUGCAGCCAUGCCGCGUGUAUGAAGAAGGCCUUCGGGUUGUAAAGUACUUUCAGCGGGGAGGAAGGGAGUAAAGUUAAUACCUUUGCUCAUUGACGUUACCCGCAGAAGAAGCACCGGCUAACUCCGUGCCAGCAGCCGGGUAAUACGGAGGGUGCAAGCGUUAAUCGGAAUUACUGGGCGUAAAGCGCACGCAGGCGGUUUGUUAAGUCAGAAGUGAAAUCCCCGGGCUCAACCUGGGAACUGCAUCUGAUACUGGCAAGCUUGAGUCUCGUAGAGGGGGGUAGAAUUCCAGGUGUAGCGGUGAAAUGCGUAGAGAUCUGGAGGAAUACCGGUGGCGAAGGCGGCCCCCUGGACGAAGACUGACGCUCAGGUGCGAAGGCGUGGGGAGCAAACAGGAUUAGAUACCCCCGUAGUC